rnacentral:rRNA from 1 species
UGGGAACGUGCCCAAAGGUACGGAACAACUCCGGGAAACUGGAGCUAAUACCGUAUGUGCCCGAAAGGGGAAAGAUUCAUCGCCUUUGGAUCGGCCCGCGUCUGAUUAGCUAGUUGGCGGGGUAAUGGCCCACCAAGGCGACGAUCAGUAGCUGGUCUGAGAGGAUGACCAGCCACACUGGGACUGAGACACGGUCCAGACUCCUACGGGAGGCAG